rnacentral:rRNA from 1 species
GACGAACGCUGGCGGCGCGCUUAACACAUGCAAGUCGAACGGAAAGGCCUGCUUUCCCUUGUGGAUUGCGGGUACUCGAGUGGCGAACGGGUGAGUAACACGUGAGUGAUCUGCCCCCAACUUGGGUAUAAGCCUGGGAAACUGGGUCUAAUUCCCGAUAGGACUGCAGGGUGGUGCCUGUGGUGGAAAACGAUUUUCUAGUGGUUGGGGAUGAGCUCGCGGCCUAUCAGCUUGUUGGUGGGGUAAUGGCCUACCAAGGCGGCGACGGGUAGCCGGCCUGAGAGGGUGGACGGCCACAUUGGGACUGAGAUACGGCCCAGACUCCUACGGGAGGCAGCAGUGGGGAAUAUUGCACAAUGGGCGGAAGCCUGAUGCAGCGACGCCGCGUGGGGGAUGACGGCCCUCGGGUUGUAAACUCCUUUCGACCGCGAGGAAGCCACCUGGUUGGAAGGGUGGUGACGGUAGUGGUAGAAGAAGCACCGGCUAACUACGUG